rnacentral:rRNA from 1 species
UAGGGAAUCUUCGGCAAUGGGGGGAACCCUGACCGAGCAACGCCGCGUGAGUGAAGAAGGUUUUCGGAUCGUAAAGCUCUGUUGUUAAGGAAGAACGAGUGUGAGAAUGGAAAGUUCAUGCUGUGACGGUACUUAACCAGAAAGGGACGGCUAACUACGUGCCAGCAGCCGCGGUAAUACGUAGGUCCCGAGCGUUGUCCGGAUUUAUUGGGCGUAAAGCGAGCGCAGGCGGUUAGAAAAGUCUGAAGUGAAAGGCAGUGGCUCAACCAUUGUAGGCUUUGGAAACUGUUUAACUUGAGUGCAGAAGGGGAGAGUGGAAUUCCAUGUGUAGCGGUGAAAUGCGUAGAUAUAUGGAGGAACACCGGUGGCGAAAGCGGCUCUCUGGUCUGUAACUGACGCUGAGGCUCGAAAGCGUAGGGAGCGAACAGG